rnacentral:rRNA from 1 species
ACCAGACUCCUGCGGGAGGCAGCAGUGGGGGAUAUUGCACAAUGGGGGAAACCCUGAUGCAGCGACGCCGCGUGAGUGAAGAAGUAUUUCGGUAUGUAAAGCUCUAUCAGCAGGGAAGAAAAAAGACGGUACCUGACUAAGAAGCCCCGGCUAACUACGUGCCAGCAGCCGCGGUAAUACGUAGGGGGCAAGCGUUAUCCGGAUUUACUGGGUGUAAAGGGAGCGUAGACGGCAAUACAAGUCGGAAGUGAAAUACCCGGGCUCAACCUGGGAACUGCUUUGGAAACUGUAUGGCUGGAGUGCUGGAGAGGUAAGCGGAAUUCCUAGUGUAGCGGUGAAAUGCGUAGAUAUUAGGAGGAACACCAGUGGCGAAGGCGGCUUACUGGACAGUAACUGACGUUGAGGCUCGAAAGCGUGGGGAGCAAACAGGAUUAGAUACCCUGGUACA